UAGCUUGGAGGGUAGAGCGUCUGCCUUGAAAGCUCUAGGUCGCGGGUUCGACUCCCGU
rnacentral:tRNA from 1 species